CCUGCCCCCUAGAUGUAUUGCAGGUGUGGCUGCUGUGUCACAUGUGCAUCAGCAGGUGGCAGAGAGGAGAUAGGCUAUGUCUAUGCUCAGUGUCCUGACCUAUGGAAUUUCUGAAUGACUAGAAGCCUAACAUU